rnacentral:rRNA from 1 species
AGAGUUUGAUUAUGGCUCGGGACGAACGCUGGCGGCGUGCCUAACACAUGCAAGUCGAGCGAGGAGAUUCCUUCGGGAUGAUCCUAGCGGCGGACGGGUGAGUAACACGUGGGCAACCUGCCUCAUAGAGAGGAAUAGCCUUCCGAAAGGGAGAUUAAUACCUCAUAACAUUGCAGUUUCGCAUGGAACAGCAAUUAAAGGAGUAAUCCGCUAUGAGAUGGGCCCGCGGCGCAUUAGCUAGUUGGUGAGGUAACGGCUCACCAAGGCGACGAUGCGUAGCCGACCUGAGAGGGUGAUCGGCCACAUUGGGACUGAGACACGGCCCAGACUCCUACGGGAGGCAGCAGUGGGGAAUAUUGCACAAUGGGGGAAACCCUGAUGCCAGCAACGCCGCGUGAGUGAUGACGGCCUUCGGGUUGUAAAGCUCUGUCUUCAGGGACGAUAAUGACGGUACCUGAGGAGGAAGCCACGGCUAACUACGUGCCAGCCGCCGC